rnacentral:rRNA from 1 species
UUUAGUGGCCAACCGACGCGGUUAGACUUAGGGGCCCCACAAGCCUUUUAUUGAGCAAAGGGUCGUACAGGGUGUGUAGGCCGACUGCCCCACCCCCCCCAAGGUGAGUAAAUGGAAUUUUUCUGUAGCGGUAGAAUGUACGGAUAGAAAAUAGAACCCCAAAAGCUGAAGCAAUUUACCGCGGGGCGGGAGGGGGGGGCCCCCUGGGGCGCCCUCCCGGGCUACGGGCUGAAACACGAGGGUGUGGGGAACAAACAGGAUUAGAGACCCUGGUAGUCCACACUGUAAACGAUGGAGAAAAUGCGAAUGCAGCCCCGAAAGGCAGCAAUCUCCCGCCUGAGUAGUACGAUCGCAAGGUUAAAAUUCAAAAAAUUUGGCUGUUCACCGUUUCGAUUAGAGGAGCGUGUAGUUUAAUUCGAUAAACCGCGAGAUACCUUACCCAAACUUGAAUCCUUGAGGAUUCCAAAGAAUCCUUAUGGACCGGUAUUGCAUGGCCGUCGUCAGUUCGUGUAUGAAACCUUAAACGGACCCAACCCGAGGAUUGGCCGCGGAUGAAGUCAGGUCUUAUGGUCCCAAUGUUUGGGGAUAAUAUGCGCUACAUUUUCUUAUACAAUGGGAAACCUGGGAGGUGAAACCCAAAAGUGAGAGUUCGGUAGGCUAUUGGAAGAUGGCCGAAAGUUGAAUUUAAUAGUAAUCGGAACAGUAUAGCGACGAUUCCGGUGAAAUGGUCUAGGUGUUAGCACAAAUUCGCCCGUUA